UAGGAAACAAACCCUGUUGCUGCAUUGCCGUCGUAAUUUUCUAAAUAUGUUUGCCUCUAAUGUGUGUGCGUUUAUGGAUGUACGAGUAUAAUGCGGACAGCGCGGCAGAGGGCGGUGGAUCACCACACCCGGCGUGACGGACACGCUAACAUGUGGAGCGGGUCGCAGGGCCUUCGCGAUGGUUGACAUUGUGUGGUUUAUACAGCACAAAGUCUCCUCCUGCGACAAGGACCUCAUAUCAUAUCACUGCUAUAGUGCUGAUCCACACUCAGACCAAGAAGAUGGAUCAAGACCUGGACAAAUUGCAACAAGCAACUCGAGUGGGAGAAGACCAUCACUCCUCACAGCAAGACGACCGCCAAGUAGCAGGGUUCAUACCCCACCUUUGGCAAGCCCUUCAAUUGCACCACCUGAUCUACUUGAAGAUGGCGGUGCAUCAAGUACACC